UUUCCGUAGGUGAACCUGCGGAAGGAUCAUUAUUGUAUAACCGAGGUGCGAGGGCUUUCGCUGACCCGACAGGUCGGGCACGCCCAACUGCCCUCACACACAUCCAUCUCACCCCUAUGUGCACCACCGCGUGGGUCCCCCUUUGGCUUGUUCGGAGGGGGGCUUACGUUUUCACACAAACUUUGUAUGCAGUGUAGAAUGUAUUUUUUGUGUUUGCGAUCACGCAAUCAAUACAACUUUCAACAACGGAUCUCUUGGUUCUC
rnacentral:misc_RNA from 1 species